rnacentral:rRNA from 1 species
AUUGAACGCUGGCGGCAGGCCUAACACAUGCAAGUCGAGCGAGCGGCGGACGGGUGAGUAAUGUCUGGGGACUGCCCGAUGGAGGGGGAUAACUACUGGAAACGGUAGCUAAUACCGCAUACUAUCGGAUUACCCAGAUGGGAUUAGCUGGUUGGUUAGGUAAUGGCUCACCAAGGCGACGAUCCCUAGCUGGUCUGAGAGGAUGACCAGCCACACUGUGACUGAGACACGGUCCAGACUCCUACGGAGGCAGCAGUGGGGAAUAUUGCACAAUGGGCGCAAGCCUGAUGCAGCCAUGCCGCGUGUAUGAAGAAGGCCCUAGGGUUGUAAAGUACUUUCAGUCGGGAGGCGUUACCGGCAGAAGAAGCACCGGCUAACUCCGUGCCAGCAGCCGCGGUAAUAC